rnacentral:rRNA from 1 species
AACGAACGCUGGCGGCAUGCCUAACACAUGCAAGUCGAACGAGACCUUCGGGUCUAUGGGCGCACGGGGGCGUAACGCGUGGGAACCUGCCCUUAGGUUCGGAAUAACUCCCCGAAAGGGGUGCUAAUACCGGAUAAUGUCUUCGGACCAAAGAUUUAUCGCCUUUGGAUGGGCCCUCGUUGGAUUAGAUAGUUGGUAGGGUAAAAGCCGACCAAGGGGACGAUCCGUAGCUUGGUAGAGAGGAGGAUCAGCCACACUGGGACUGAGACACGGCCCAGACUCCUACGGGAGGCAGGAGUGCGGAAUAUUGGACAGUGGGCGAAAGCAUGAUCCACCAAUGCCGCGUGAGUGAUGAAGGCCUUAGGGUUGUAAAGCUCUUUUAACCGGGAUGAUAAUGACGGUACCGGGAGAAUAAGCCCCGGCUAACUCCGUG